rnacentral:tmRNA from 1 species
GGGGGCGCACUGGUUUCGACUCGUUGUUUGAAAACGCAGGCGGCAUGUCGAGGAUGGUUCGUUGGCCUCGUUAAAAUCCGGACCAAAAAAAAUAAACGCAGAUCACCAAGAUCUCGCUCUCGCGGCUUAAUUGACCGUGAUGUUCGGAGCUGGACGCC